rnacentral:lncRNA from 1 species
CGCCACUCGGGUUUCUGCGUCCUCUCCUGGUCACCCCCGCUCGCCUCCUCUGUGUAAACACGGGCCCGGCCCCCAGCGGCACCCCCACCCUCCUCCUCCUCCUCUUCCUUCACCGCCGCCGCAGCUGCCUCUGUCCCCGAGGCCUCCUUGGGCACCUCCAAGGCGCAUGCGCCACCUAGCGGCCAUCGGGGUCUCUGCAAGACAGCUCACCCCGCCUCCUCCGUUCCGCGCACGCGCCUCCGUUUCUAGUUCCCGGACGGCGUGCGGUCGCUCUUUCCUCUUUCCCUUGGUGCGUUUGAUAGUGUCAGUUGCGUCCUCCUCGAGCUCUUCCCCUUCCCUUUUCAUGGGAAUGCGCGUGCCCACGGGCUUGCCCUAGAGAUCCAGGUGGGGAAAGAUUGGGAGGAGAGGGAAGUUCGCGCGCCGAUGGUGAGGUUGGGAGAGGCGCCUCUGCCGGCCCAGCUCCAUGGUUCUAUCCCCUUGUUCCCAGCCCUCCACCCUUCCCGGCCUUCCCGCUUGCCCGGCCCCGCCCCGGCGAAGAGGAAGAGGCCUGAGAGGGUCCGUCCCCCGUGACCCCUCGGCCCGACGCCAGGGACCCCCUCCCAUCUCGCAGCCUCAAUACCCCAAGGGCCAGGACUCAGUCUCGUGCCGGCAUGAUCUGGGCUCCGGAUGCUUGACACAGCCCAACCCCGGGCUGCUUGCCAGGUCGAGAAAAAAGCGAGUUUUAACGUGCCUUGGCCCAAAGGGAGAAAGAAAGAAAUCUGCCUUUCCCCUUGUGCUACAAAGGCCUGAUCAAGAUGACACAAGGAGCUUUGCCCUGGUCCUCAGAAUAUGACUGAACUGAAGAUGAUUGGUGCCUGAGAAGGGAGAGGGGGAAUUUGUUGAAGGCCCUUCUGUAGCCUAUAAGAGUCAAUUAUGGAACUGAUUCCAACUUCUUUGGACCCUUCUCUCUAGUUUCACGUUUUCCAGCAAAAGGUGGAAAGAUUUCUUUCCCCUUUUGUUUCCAGAGUCAAUAAGAGCAUCUUUCAACAGCUGCAAGAGGAGACCCCCUAAACUCCCUUAUUCUUGGUCUCUGCUGUUUCCUUUUAUGAGCACUGAUCAUUGCCUAAUGUCCUUAGACUGGCCUCUGACUGGCCUUGGGUUUUUACCUUGUGAGUAUAAAGAGCUCCUGAAUUCAAGAAUGAAACAAGCACCUGCUGCCCAAAUGAAGAAAGUUGCCUUAAGAGCAGGCUUUUAAAAAACAAAAAAACAAAACCACACCAACAG